rnacentral:rRNA from 1 species
UGAAUACGAGACGCUAAGGCGUCGAAGUAGUGUAUGUCAUACUUCCAAGAAAAGCUUGCACUGUCAUAAGUAAAAAAUGCCUGUACCAUAACCGACACAGGUGGGUAGGUAGAGUAUACUAGGGGCGCGAGAUAACUCUCUCUAAGGAACUCGGCAAAAUAACUCCGUAACUUCGGGAGAAGGAGUACCUUAUUCUAUAAGGUUGCAAUAACAAGAUCCAAGCAACUGUUUAUCAAAAACACAGGUCUCCGCUAAGUCGUAAGACGAUGUAUGGGGGCUGACGCCUGCCCAGUGCCAGAAGGUUAAAGAAGUCGGUUAGCAUUAGCGAAGCUGGUAACUGAAGCCCUGGUGAACGGCGGCCGUAACGAUAACGGUCCUAAGGUAGCGAAAUUCCUUGUCGGGUAAGUUCCGACCCGCACGAAAGGCGUAAUGAUUUGGAUACUGUCUCGGAGAGGGGCUCGGUGAAAUAGACUUGUCUGUGAAGAUGCGGACUACCUGCACCAGGACAGAAAGACCCUAUGAAGCUUUACUGUAACUUGAAAUUGAAAUUGGACUUUAUUCGCGCAGUAUAGGUGGGAGGUGUUGAUUAUAAUCUUGCGGGAUUAUUGGAGCCAUCAGUGAGAUACCACUCUUGUAAUGUUAGAUUUCUAACUUUGAAUCAUUAUCUGGUCAAAGGACAGUUUCAGGCGGGCAGUUUGACUGGGGCGGUCGCCUCCCAAACGGUAACGGAGGCGUACAAAGGUUUCCUCUGAACGGGUAGAAAUCGUAUCUAGAGUGUAAAGGCAUAAGGAAGCUUGACUGUGAGACCUACAAGUCGAACAGGGACGAAAGUCGGUCUUAGUGAUCUGACGGUACUGAGUGGAAAGGCCGUCACUCAACGGAUAAAAGUUACUCUAAGGAUAACAGGCUGAUCUCCCCCAAGAGUUCACAUCGACGGGGAGGUUUGGCACCUCGAUGUCGGCUCAUCGCAUCCUGGGGCGGUAGUACGUCCCAAGGGUUGGGCUGUUCGCCCAUGAAAGCGGUACGCGAGCUGGGUUCAGAACGUCGUGAGACAGUUCGGUCCAUAUCCGGUGUAGGCGUUAGAAUAUUGAGAGGAGCCUUCUUUAGUACGAGAGGACCGAGAAGGACAUACCUCUGGUGUACCAGUUAUCGUGCCAACGGUAAACGCUGGGUAGCUAUGUAUGGAGUGGAUAACCGCUGAAAGCAUCUAAGUGGGAAGCCCACCUCAAGAUAAGUAUUCUCC